GUCGAAUGAGCAAUGAAUUUUGCGUUUGGUUUAGGGCCAAAAGGUGGAGGUAGGACUCCAUUCGAUA
rnacentral:tRNA from 1 species